rnacentral:lncRNA from 1 species
AGGAUGGACAGCAUUAAUGUUGGCUGCCAGGGAGGACACCUGGAGAUCUGUAGACUCCUCAUUGAUAGAGGAUGUAAGAUCGACAUCACAGAUGUAUGUUAUCUACUUAGUCUGAUCACAUUACUAUUAAUCUACACACUAAAUCAUGUUGUUAAUUAGACAGUUUUAAUGAAACAAAUAUUUGUGAAUAAUCAUAUAAAGUGGGGUCUCAUUUUGCUUGUUUUGUUCUACUGAAUCCAUUGAUAUAAUUAUUUUACACAUUUCUUGAAAAAAAUAUUUUUUUAAGAUAUCAGGUUUAAUGGAAGUUUUGACAUUUCACAACAAAACAUGUUUAUUUUAUUGUUUAUAUACAAUAUAAAUACAAGUGUGACUGGUCAUUUUAUUCAGUUUUGACCACUGAUUCAUGUGAUAUAUAUUUUGUUUAUAUUUAUUACACAACAUUGUCCAGUUUAUCAGACAAGUUUUGAUGUCAGUUGUAUUAUUCCAGGGUAUGGAUGGACAGCAUUAAUGUGGGCUGCCUUGGAGGACACCUGGAGAUCUGUCGUCUCCUCAUUGAUAGAGGAUGUAAGAUCGACAUCACAGAUGUAUGUUAUCUACUUAGUCUGAUCACAUUACUAUUAAUCUACACUAAAUCAUGUUGUUAAUUAGACAGGUUUAAUGAACAAAUAUUUGUAAUAAUUAUAUAAAGUGGGGUCUCAUUUUACUCGUAUUAUUGUUCUGAAUCAGAAAAUAUUAACUUUUUUCAUGUUUUUUAAAAAAAAUAUUUUUUAUUAAAUGAAUGAUUAUACUGAAUCUACACUAAUUCCUGUUGUUAAUUAGACAGUUUUAAUGAACAAAUAUUUGUAAGAAUCAUAUAAAGUGGGGUCUCAUUUUACUUGUUUUGUUCUACUGAAUCCAUUGAUAUAAUUAUUUUACACAUUUCUUGAAAAAAAUAUUUUUUUUUAAGAUAUCAGGUUUAAUGGAAGUUUUGACAUUUCACAACAAAACAUGUUUAUUUAUUGUUUAUAUACAAUAUAAAUACAAGUGUGACUGGUCAUUUUAUUCAGUUUUGACCACUGAUUCAUGUGAUAUAUAUUUUGUUUAUAUUUAUUACACAACAUUGUCCAGUUUAUCAGACAAGUUUUGAUGUCAGUUGUAUUAUUCCAGGAUGGUGGAGUGACAGCAUUAAUGUGGGCUGUCAGGGAAGGACACCUGGAGAUCUGUAGACUCCUCAUUGAUAGAGGAUGUAAGAUCGACACCACAUCAGUAUGUUAU